rnacentral:piRNA from 1 species
UUCUAAUUGGGAGUGAUGAAUUCAAAGGAC